UCCUGAAUGCUCUAGGAUAAUCUCAGGUUAACUAUCAACCCAGAGUGUUUCAUCCACAUUGUAUUUCAAUUUUUCAAAUCUAUCUCAUGAAUUACCCUACCCAAGACUUUACUAAAUUGAAAUACAGUAAUACAUUAGCUCCUAUAAUUUGAAGUGAUCAAUCUCAUCUUGAUCUACACACAGACUUUGUAAGUACUUGACUAUACCCAGUAGCC
rnacentral:lncRNA from 1 species